rnacentral:lncRNA from 1 species
UCCCAGGCUGACGACCUAGAACCCAUCCUAUGAUCGAUGAUGAUGAAGAAGAAGAACUCCAAAUCAAACAAGCAUCGCUCUCACGUCAAAGCAUCAUAUUUCCUGUACCUGCAACUGUUGUUAUAGUAAUCUAUGAGCCACAAGGACUCAGCAAUCUCAUUUCCAAGGGUAUCAAGACUAGCAAAUCCAAAUGGAUGAGGUUUGGUUAACUGGUGAGUCAGCAACAAGCACUAAGCAUUUAUGUGAAUGGCUAGCUUACGAGUACAAGAAUAAGAAGAGUGAUCUACGCAUAAAUGGACAUGAACUAGUAAUGAUCGAGAAGUGAUCCUGGACACCUACUUAGGAGUCGUUCAUAACCCCAUCAUGUUCUCUUCCAGGUUCAAACCUCACAAGGAGAGAUAGUCACGGUUACUCACCCGGUUGGUAUAUUUCAUUUGAGUUUACUUCAAGUUUGCUACGACCGUGUGUUAAACAAAUUUCCAGGUUGCCACAUAACCGUGAGAACAACUCUCAGAAAGAUUUACCCCUGCACGGGUGCUACAACUCAUCCAUAGAAAAAUAGCCACAAGUUGCGCUAGGAAACCUCAACGUCGAGAUAGCCCAAGGUAUCCUCGAAAUCCGGGCUCAGAAGACAUUCGAGAAAGGCAAAACU